AUUGAACGCUGGCGGCAGGCCUAACACAUGCAAGUCGAGCGGAUGAAGAGAGCUUGCUCUCUGAUUCAGCGGCGGACGGGUGAGUAAUGCCUAGGAAUCUGCCUGGUAGUGGGGGACAACGUUUCGAAAGGAACGCUAAUACCGCAUACGUCCUACGGGAGAAAGUGGGGAUCUUCGGACCUCACGCUAUCAGAUGAGCCUAGGUACGAUUAGCUAGUUGGUGAGGUAAAGGCUCACCAAGGCGACGAUCGUUAACUGGUCUGAGAGGAUGAUCAAUAACACUGGAACUGAGACACGGUCCAGACUCCGACGGGAGGCAGCAGUGGGGAAUAUUGGACAAUGGGCGAAAGCCUGAUCCAGCCAUGCCGCGGGUGUGAAGAAGGUCUUCGGAUUGUAAAGCACUUUAAGUUGGGAGGAAGGGCAGUAAGUUAAUACCUUGCUGUUUUGACGUUACCGACAGAAUAAGCACCGGCUAACUUCGUGCCAGCCGCCGCCGUAA
rnacentral:rRNA from 1 species